rnacentral:rRNA from 1 species
GACGAACGCUGGCGGCGUGCUUAACACAUGCAAGUCGAACGAUGAAGCUGGAGCUUGCUCUGGCGGAUUAGUGGCGAACGGGUGAGUAACACGUGAGAAAUCUGCCCUUGACUCUGGGAUAACUGCGGGAAACUGUAGCUAAUACCGGAUACUUUCCCUGGUGGGCAUCCACUGGGGAAGAAAGAAUUUCGGUCAAGGAUGAUCUCGCGGCCUAUCAGCUUGUUGGUGAGGUAAUGGCUCACCAAGGCGACGACGGGUAGCCGGCCUGAGAGGGUGACCGGCCACACUGGGACUGAGACACGGCCCAGACUCCUACGGGAGGCAGCAGUGGGGAAUGUUGCACAAUGGGCGCAAGCCUGAUGCAGCAACGCCGCGUGAGGGAUGAAGGCCUUCGGGUUGUAAACCUCUUUUAGCAGGGAAGAAGCGAAAGUGACGGUACCUGCAGAAAAAGCACCGGCUAACUACGUGCCAGCAGCCGCAGUAA